UUAUUGCAAUUUACUUUUAUUAAUUUUUAGCUAGAUCCUCAGUUGUUUUUUAAAUGUUUCUCAGAGGUGUUGAAUGAUAUAUUUUAAAACUGUUUCAAAAGUACCCUCUGAAACUUAAUUUUUGUUCUUGAAAAUUGAUCUGUGUUGCAUAUUUACAUAGGGAUAAAUAAAGAUUUAAGGGCAAAUAUACAAAAGGUUAUCUUCUGAAAAUACAGAAAGUCUUUAGAAGGAAAUAUCUUCUUUGUGUGACUGUAAUGGAAAGAAACCAGUAUGCUUCUGAAUAUCCCAUUAGAUAUUUAUUAGAUUACAUUAGAUAUGUAUUCCCAGACUUCUAAACAUUUUUUAAGGCUUUUUUUUUUUUUCAUUAGAACUAUAUUUGAGAGAUGGAACACACACCUUUUGCAUCUAGCUUUCAUAGAUACGCUACCGAGCUCCGUUAUGUACUAGAAGAAGGGAAGACUGGAAGUGUUAAGAUACUUAAGGUGCAGAUGCCAGAAACAGUAAAGUGCCAUUGCCCUUCUGUUUUUACAUUCAGAGAAUCCAGAAUUGAUAGGAAAUCAUGUGUUCCAGAAUUGUAG
rnacentral:lncRNA from 1 species